CAUAUAUUCAGUUUCUCCGCCGUCAGCGUCUGCACAAGAAGGGUCCUGCUCUGCUGAGAGACAGCAACUCUGGAAGCACAACUCUGGCAGGAGAUACUCUCCUUGGAUGAGAAAUACCUAAUAUUGUACAGCUGAUCAAACUGAAAAUGUCACCCCUGAACAAAAAUCUACCACUUCUGUAGGAGGCAGCUUCCAUAGAUUGCUCUGAGAAGCACAGCAGCUACUUCCUAAGGAAAAGCCUGGAAAUGCUGCACAGAGCCUCCUGAAAUACCAGCUGUCUGUCAAUGUCAUCCGUCAGGGGUCAGCCAAGGAUUCACUAUGACAGACAUCUGUGACUUGUUUCUGCUUCUUUCAGUUCUGGGGGGUUCCCUCAAUAGCAACGUUCACAUCCCUAAAAACUAAUGGCAAAACCAAUGAACUGUUUAGAUCUGGCAGCAUUCAUGCUUUUCUCAACAGAGAGAAUGUCUUGACUCUCAGGUUGUUAAGAUUAUGGUUUACAGCCAUGCAGUCACAGAAUAGCUGAGGUUGGAAAGACUUCUGGAGAUAACCACACAAGUGUUAUUUGAAAAAAUAAUUGAUUAAAGUAAAUGCAUUCAAAACCUGGUAGUUUAUUUAAUUAUCAGAUGACUACAAGACAGGAGCCUGGAGCCCUGUUUUUGGGGAGACCAGGGACAAGUACAAUACAAUAACAGCCUAAAAACUGGAAAUAAAAGAACAAGAAAGGAGAUAGGAGUUUAAGGGACUUGUUCCACCCAUGAAGUAGUAAGGUACUGAGAAAAUAUAGUUCCAACUAUACCACUUGCUCCAAUAACAUAGUACCUCCUCCCACGAGCAGUAAUUUCCCCAUGUCCUCAGAACAAUUGUGUUAUGACACUACUGCCUUAAAGACAGGAGUUUAUACAGAAAAUGAAUUGCUAACAGUUGGAGAUUAUCAGCUUUAUUCUGCAGUAUCAGUCAGUGUAUAGUGUUGUUACACAGCUGGAACAGGAGCCCACUUCCUUUCAGGUUUCAUGCUCCCUGCUUGCUAAGCCUUUCCUCUCACCGUAAUACUCCAAAUAACUCUCCAUCACUACAGAGAGCACAUUUCUACAGGUGCUUCUAAUGUGUGCACGUGUUAACUGAAAGGAAAAGACAGAUUCCUUGGAGAGGGAGAGUCUUUUGCUCUUGGAGUUAUAGCACAUUAUAUUGCCAUAUAGCAGGCUCCAGAGCAGAAU